GACGAACGCUGGCGGCGCGCCUAACACAUGCAAGUCGAACGAGCGAGAGAGAGCUUGCUUUCUCGAGCGAGUGGCGAACGGGUGAGUAACGCGUGAGGAACCUGCCUCAAAGAGGGGGACAACAGUUGGAAACGACUGCUAAUACCGCAUAAGCUCUCGGGUCGGCAUCGACCAGAGGGAAAAGGAGCAAUCCGCUUUGAGUUGGCCUCGCGUCCGAUUAGCUAGUUGGUGAGGUAACGGCCCACCAAAGCAACGAUCGGUAGCCGGACUGAGAGGUGGAACGGCCACAUUGGGACUGAGACACGGCCCAGACUCCUACGGGAGGGAGGAGUGGGGGAUAUUGCAACAUGGGGGGAACCCUGAUGCUGCGACGCCGGGUGGAGGAAGAAAGUCUUCAGAUUGUAAACUCCUGUUGUUGGGGAAGAUAAUGACGGUACCCAACAAGAAAGUGACGGCUAACUACGUG
rnacentral:rRNA from 1 species